rnacentral:rRNA from 1 species
CCUACGGGCGACAGCAGUGAGGAAUAUUGGUCAAUGGGCGCGAGCCUGAACCAGCCAAGUAGCGUGAAGGAUGACUGCCCUACGGGUUGUAAACUUCUUUUAUAUAGGAAUAAAGUGCGGCACGUAUACUUCUUUGCAUGUACCUUAUGAAUAAGGAUCGGCUAACUCCGUGCCAGCAGCCGCGGUAAUACGGAGGAUCCGAGCGUUAUCCGGAUUUAUUGGGUUUAAAGGGUGCGCAGGCGGGGAGUUAAGUCAGCUGUGAAAUCUGGGGGCUCAACCCUCCAAUUGCCGUUGAAACUGGCGGCCGUGAGUGCGGCAGAGGCAUGCGGAAUGCGUGGUGUAGCGGUGAAAUGCAUAGACAUCGCGCAGAACUCCGAGUGCGAAGGCAGCCUGCUGGACUGCAACUGACGCUGAGGCACGAAAGUGCGGGUAUCGAACAGGAUUAGAUACCCUUGUAGUC